UACGUAGGGCGCAAGCGUUAUCCGGAAUUAUUGGGCGUAAAGAGCUCGUAGGCGGUUUGUCGCGUCUGCCGUGAAAGUCCGGGGCUCAACCCCGGGAGGCGGGCGGAUACUGCCGGGCUAGAGUCCGGAAGAGGCGAGUGGAAUUCCUGGUGUAGCGGUGAAAUGCGCAGAUAUCAGGAGGAACAUCGAUGGCGAAGGCAGCCCCUUGGACCUGUACUGACGCUCAUGCACGAAAGCGUGGGGAGCAAACAGG
rnacentral:rRNA from 1 species